GCCAGGCAUGGUGGCCCGUGCCUGUAAUCCCAGUUACUUGGGAGGCUGAGGCAUGAGAAUCGCUUGAACUCAGGAGGUGGAGGUUACAGUGAGCCAAGAUGGCACCACUGCACUCCAGCCUGGGCAACAGAGCGAGACUCUGUCUCAU
rnacentral:sRNA from 1 species